AUGUGAGGGGCAUCCCUGGAAUAUCAAAGGGGAGCCAGGAGAGGAGGGACCCUAUGGUGAUGAGCUAGUGGGUAAGGGAAGAGCUUACCAAGGCAACGAUCAGUAGCCGACAUGAGAGGGGGAUAGGCCAAAUUGGAACUGAGACACGGUCCAAACUCCAAAGGGAGGCAGCAGUGGGGAAUUUUGCACAAUGGGCGAAAGCCUGAUGAAGCAACGCCGCGUGAGUGAUGAAGGCAGUCGGGUCGUAAAACUCUGUCCUCAAGGAAGAUAAUGACGGUACGUGAGGAGGAAGCCCCGGCUAACUACGUGCCAGCAGCCGCGGUAAUACGUAGGGGGCUAGCGUUAUCCGGAUU
rnacentral:rRNA from 1 species